rnacentral:rRNA from 1 species
GAUGAAUGCUGGCGGCGUGCCUAACACAUGCAAGUCGAGCGGCAGCGCGAGUAGUUUACUACUUGGCGGCGAGCGGCGGACGGCUGAGUAACGCGUGGGAACGUGCCCCAAAGUGAGGAAUAACUGCCCGAAAGGGUGGCUAAUGCCGCAUAUGAUCUUCGGAUUAAAGGAUUUAUCCGCUUUGGGAGCGGCCCGCUUCGGAUUAGGUUGUUGGUGAGGUAAUGGCUCACCAAGCCGACGAUCCGUAGCUGGUCUGAGAGGAUGAUCAGCCAGACUGGGACUGAGACACGGCCCAGACUCCUACGGGAGGCAGCAGUGAGGAAUCUUCCACAAUGGGCGAAAGCCUGAUGGAGCAACGCCGCGUGAAGGAUGAAGGCCCUCGGGUUGUAAACUUCUUUUAUAAGUGAAGAAUAUGACGGUAACUUAUGAAUAAGCACCGGCUAACUACGUGCCAGCCGCCGCCGUAA